rnacentral:rRNA from 1 species
CAGUCGCCGCGGUAAUACGUAGGUGGCAAGCGUUGUCCGGAAUUAUUGGGCGUAAAGGGCUCGCAGGCGGUUUCUUAAGUCUGAUGUGAAAGCCCCCGGCUCAACCGGGGAGGGUCAUUGGAAACUGGGAAACUUGAGUGCAGAAGAGGAGAGUGGAAUUCCACGUGUAGAGGUGAAAUGCGUAGAGAUGUGGAGGAACACCAGUGGCGAAGGCGACUCUCUGGUCUGUAACUGACGCUGAGGAGCGAAAGCGUGGGGAGCGAACAGGAUUAGAGACCCCCGUAGUCCCUGUCUCUUAUAC